rnacentral:rRNA from 1 species
GACAGAGGAUGCAAGCGUUAUCCGGAAUGAUUGGGCGUAAAGCGUCUGUAGGUGGCUUUUUAAGUCCGCCGUCAAAUCCCAGGGCUCAACCCUGGACAGGCGGUGGAAACUACCAAGCUGGAGUACGGUAGGGGCAGAGGGAAUUUCCGGUGGAGCGGUGAAAUGCGUAGAUAUCGGAAGGAACGCCGGUGGCGAAAGCGACGUGCUGGACCUCUUCUGACGCUGAGGCGCGAAAGCUAGGGGAGCAAACGGG